UACAGAGGUCUCAAGCGUUGUUCGGAUUCAUUGGGCGUAAAGGGCGCGUAGGCGGCGGGGUGAAGUCAGGUGUGAAAUCUCAGAGCUCAACUCUGAAAUGGCACUUGAUACUGCUCUGCUAGAGGACUGGAGAGGAGAUUGGAAUUCACGGUGUAGCAGUGAAAUGCGUAGAUAUCGUGAGGAAGACCGGUGGCGAAGGCGGAUCUCUGGACAGUUCCUGACGCUGAGGCGCGAAGGCCAGGGGAGCAAACGGG
rnacentral:rRNA from 1 species